rnacentral:rRNA from 1 species
GCGGCCGAUAUCAGAUUAGCUAGUUGGUGGGGUAAAAGCCCACCAAGGCGACGAUCUGUAGCUGGUCUGAGAGGACGACCAGCCACACUGGAACUGAGACACGGUCCAGACUCCUACGGGAGGCAGCAGUGGGGAAUUUUGGACAAUGGGCGCAAGCCUGAUCCAGCAAUGCCGCGUGCAGGAUGAAGGCCUUCGGGUUGUAAACUGCUUUUGUACGGAACGAAACGGCUUCUUUUAAUACAAGAGGCUAAUGACGGUACCGUAAGAAUAAGCACCGGCUAACUACGUGCCAGCAGCCGCGGUAAUACGUAGGGUGCGAGCGUUAAUCGGAAUUACUGGGCGUAAAGCGUGCGCAGGCGGUUAUAUAAGACAGAUGUGAAAUCCCCGGGCUCAACCUGGGACCUGCAUUUGUGACUGUAUAGCUAGAGUACGGUAGAGGGGGAUGGAAUUCCGCGUGUAGCAGUGAAAUGCGUAGAUAUGCGGAGGAACACCGAUGGCGAAGGCAAUCCC